GUGAGGAAUAUUGGACAAUGGGCGCAAGCCUGAUCCAGCCAUGCCGCGUGCAGGAAGACGCAUCUAUGGUGUGUAAACUGCUUUUGUACGGGAAGAAACACUCCCUCGUGAGGGAGCUUGACGGUACCGUAAGAAUAAGGAUCGGCUAACUCCGUGCCAGCAGCCGCGGUAAUACGGAGGAUCCAAGCGUUAUCCGGAAUCAUUGGGUUUAAAGGGUCCGUAGGCGGUUUAAUAAGUCAGUGGUGAAAGACCAUCGCUCAACGAUGGAACGGCCAUUGAUACUGUUAGACUUGAAUUACAAGGAAGUAACUAGAAUAUGUAGUGUAGCGGUGAAAUGCUUAGAUAUUACAUGGAAUACCAAUUGCGAAGGCAGGUUACUACUUGUGGAUUGACGCUGAUGGACGAAAGCGUGGGGAGCGAACAGGAUUAGAUACCCCUGUAGUCC
rnacentral:rRNA from 1 species